CACCCAAAUCACACAAAGCCUUUCCAAUAGUAAGAUCCCCAAUGGAACAAGGGAUUGUAAAGCUCCCCGGAUCUUUCUUUUUCUGAGGUAGCUUCCGCUGAAUGAGGGCGCUGCACUCUUCCGUCAUACUUACCAUUUCAUCAUCUAAUGGUUUUCUUUUCUUUGUAAGCAGCUCCUUCAAAAACUUUGCAUAACUUGGCAUUUGCUCCAAUGCCUCAACUAAAGGUAUAGCCAUCUCAAGCUUGUUCAACACCUUCAUGAACUUCUUG
rnacentral:lncRNA from 1 species